rnacentral:rRNA from 1 species
CCUACGGGAGGCUGCAGUGAGGAAUCUUGGUCAAUGGGCGCGAGCCUGAACCAGCCAAGUAGCGUGAAGGAUGACUGCCCUACGGGUUGUAAACUUCUUUUAUAAAGGAAUAAAGUGAGGCACGUGUGCCUUUUUGUAUGUACUUUAUGAAUAAGGAUCGGCUAACUUCGUGACAGCAGCCGCGGUAAUACGGAGGAUCCGAGCGUUAUCCGGAUUUAUUGGGUUUAGAGGGAGCGCAGAUGGGCUGUUAAGUCAGUUGUGAAAGUAUGCGGCUCAACCGUAAAAUUGCAAUUGAUACUGGCAGUCUUGAGUGCAGAUGAGGUGGGCGGAAUUCGAGGUGUAGCGGUGAAAUGCGUAGAUAUCACGAAGAACCCCGAUUGCGAAGGCAGCUUACUAAACUGUGACUGACAUUGAUGCUCGAAAGUGUGGGUAUCAAACAGGAUUAGAUACCCGAGUAGUC